CUUAUAACACAUAUUACAAGUAAAGUUCCCACUUGCCUCCAGCAGAAAAGUCACAUCAUGUAUCACAUCUUCUUGCACAUGACAGGAUUUUUGUCGUGACUUUCCUAAAUUCUCACUGUGCCAAGCAAGCAAGAAAGUGCCCACAGGAGUGGGAGGGAAAAGACACAUGGGAUGGCAGCAAGGAAACCUGCCUAGAGGAGCCAGCCAUCCCGUCUGUCCCCUCACUUCCUUCCAGAGAGAACGUCUUUCCUUGACAGCGCCUGCCUCCUGUCAUUUCAUCCCAACACUUUGCCCAGCCCGGGAAAUCUGGAUUUUCUUUUUAAAGAAAGAUGUCUAGAGAGAAAAAUAGAAAAUGAACAGCCAAUAGAAAGUGCAACAGAGCUUGUUGAUUUGGUUCUGUCAGAUGCCCCAAGUGUUCGUGAAGCAGCUAUACUAAGUGACAUUCAAACGUUGGUAAUGAGGAGACAUCUGCAUAUACACUGGUUUUGAAACAUCAAGCACUGGAGAAGUUAUGAGCUGUCAAUCACUUUAGCUGUCCUCCACCCUGUGUUUAUUCAGAAAUAAUUUUCAAGGCUGCAGAAAGUGUUGUUACUAACUGAUGAGCAAGUUUGAACACUGAAAAUGAAGAAUGAUUGAUGUUCUUUUAGGUAAGCUGGAAAACUCUCCAUCCACUAGAGGCAGCCACAGCUCGGGAUGCUGAUAAAGUUCUGACACAGGGAGUGAGUGAUGAGUGGUGUGUAAAAGU